GUUUGAUCCUGGCUCAGAACGAACGCUGGCGGCAGGCUUAACACAUGCAAGUCGAACGGGCGUAGCAAUACGUCAGUGGCAGACGGGUGAGUAACACGUGGGAACCUUCCUAGGGGUACGGAACAACUCAGGGAAACUUGAGCUAAUACCGUAUACGUCCGUGAGGAGAAAGAUUUAUCGCCCUUAGACGGGCCCGCGUCGGAUUAGCUAGUUGGUGGGGUAACGGCCUACCAAGGCGACGAUCCGUAGCUGAUCUGAGAGGAUGAUCAGCCACACUGGGACUGAGACACGGCCCAGACUCCUACGGGAGGCAGCAGUGGGGAAUCUUGGACAAUGGGCGCAAGCCUGAUCCAGCCAUGCCGCGUGAGUGAAGAAGGCCUUCGGGUUGUAAAGCUCUUUGUCAGGGACGAUAAUGACGGUACCUGAAGAAUAAGCCCCGGCAAACUUCGUG
rnacentral:rRNA from 1 species